rnacentral:rRNA from 1 species
UACACAGGUCUCAAGCGUUGUUCGGAUUCAUUGGGCGUAAAGGGUGCGUAGGCGGCGCGGUAAGUCGGGUGUGAAAUCUUGGAGCUUAACUCCGAAACUGCAUUCGAUACUGCCGUGCUUGAGGACUGGAGAGGAGACUGGAAUUUACGGUGUAGCGGUGAAAUGCGUAGAUAUCGUAAGGAAGACCAGUGGCGAAGGCGGGUCUCUGGACAGUUCCUGACGCUGAGGCACGAAGGCCAGGGGAGCAAACGGG